AACGAACGCUGGCGGCAUGCCUAACACAUGCAAGUCGAACGAGACCUUCGGGUCUAGUGGCGCACGGGUGCGUAACGCGUGGGAAUCUGCCCCUUGGUUCGGAAUAACUUCGGGAAACUGAAGCUAAUACCGGAUAAUGACGUAAGUCCAAAGAUUUAUCGCCAAGGGAUGAGCCCGCGUAGGAUUAGCUAGUUGGUGGGGUAAAGGCUCACCAAGGCGACGAUCCUUAGCUGGUCUGAGAGGAUGAUCAGCCACACUGGGACUGAGACACGGCCCAGACUCCUACGGGAGGCAGCAGUGGGGGAAUAUUGGACAAUGGGCGAAAGCCUGAUCCAGCAAUGCCGCGUGAGUGAUGAAGGCCUUAGGGUGUAAAGCUCUUUUACCCCGGGAAGAUAAUGACAGUACCGGGAGAAUAAGCCCCCGGCUAACUCCGUGCCAGCAGCCGCGGUAAU
rnacentral:rRNA from 1 species